rnacentral:rRNA from 1 species
ACCCUUGGUCAGGUUGAAGUUCAGGUAACACUGAAUGGAGGACCGAACCGACUUACGUUGAAAAGUGAGCGGAUGAACUGAGGGUAGCGGAGAAAUUCCAAUCGAACCUGGAGAUAGCUGGUUCUCUCCGAAAUAGCUUUAGGGCUAGCCUCAAGUGAUGAUUAUUGGAGGUAGAGCACUGUUUGGACGAGGGGCCCCUCUCGGGUUACCGAAUUCAGACAAACUCCGAAUGCCAAUUAAUUUAACUUGGGAGUCAGAACAUGGGUGAUAAGGUCCGUGUUCGAAAGGGAAACAGCCCAGACCACCAGCUAAGGUCCCAAAAUAUAUGUUAAGUGGAAAAGGAUGUGGCGUUGCCCAGACAACUAGGAUGUUGGCUUAGAAGCAGCCAUCAUUUAAAGAGUGCGUAAUAGCUCACUAGUCGAGUGACACUGCGCCGAAAAUGUACCGGGGCUAAACAUAUUACCGAAGCUGUGGAUUGUCCUUUGGACAAUGGUAGGAGAGCGUUCUAAGGGCGUUGAAGCAUGAUCGUAAGGACAUGUGGAGCGCUUAGAAGUGAGAAUGCCGGUGUGAGUAGCGAAAGACGGGUGAGAAUCCCGUCCACCGAUUGACUAAGGUUUCCAGAGGAAGGCUCGUCCGCUCUGGGUUAGUCGGGUCCUAAGCUGAGGCCGACAGGCGUAGGCGAUGGAUAACAGGUUGAUAUUCCUGUACCACCUAUAAUCGUUUUAAUCGAUGGGGGGACGCAGUAGGAUAGGCGAAGCGUGCGAUUGGAUUGCACGUCUAAGCAGUAAGGCUGAGUAUUAGGCAAAUCCGGUACUCGUUAAGGCUGAGCUGUGAUGGGGAGAAGACAUUGUGUCUUCGAGUCGUUGAUUUCACACUGCCGAGAAAAGCCUCUAGAUAGAAAAUAGGUGCCCGUACCGCAAACCGACACAGGUAGUCAAGAUGAGAAUUCUAAGGUGAGCGAGCGAACUCUCGUUAAGGAACUCGGCAAAAUGACCCCGUAACUUCGGGAGAAGGGGUGCUCUUUAGGGUUAACGCCCAGAAGAGCCGCAGUGAAUAGGCCCAAGCGACUGUUUAUCAAAAACACAGGUCUCUGCUAAACCGUAAGGUGAUGUAUAGGGGCUGACGCCUGCCCGGUGCUGGAAGGUUAAGAGGAGUGGUUAGCUUCUGCGAAGCUACGAAUCGAAGCCCCAGUAAACGGCGGCCGUAACUAUAACGGUCCUAAGGUAGCGAAAUUCCUUGUCGGGUAAGUUCCGACCCGCACGAAAGGCGUAACGAUUUGGGCACUGUCUCAACGAGAGACUCGGUGAAAUCAUAGUACCUGUGAAGAUGCAGGUUACCCGCGACAGGACGGAAAGACCCCGUGGAGCUUUACUGUAGCCUGAUAUUGAAAUUCGGCACAGCUUGUACAGGAUAGGUAGGAGCCUUUGAAACGUGAGCGCUAGCUUACGUGGAGGCGCUGGUGGGAUACUACCCUAGCUGUGUUGGCUUUCUAACCCGCACCACUUAUCGUGGUGGGAGACAGUGUCAGGCGGGCAGUUUGACUGGGGCGGUCGCCUCCUAAAAGGUAACGGAGGCGCUCAAAGGUUCCCUCAGAAUGGUUGGAAAUCAUUCAUAGAGUGUAAAGGCAUAAGGGAGCUUGACUGCGAGACCUACAAGUCGAGCAGGGUCGAAAGACGGACUUAGUGAUCCGGUGGUUCCGCAUGGAAGGGCCAUCGCUCAACGGAUAAAAGCUACCCCGGGGAUAACAGGCUUAUCUCCCCCAAGAGUUCACAUCGACGGGGAGGUUUGGCACCUCGAUGUCGGCUCAUCGCAUCCUGGGGCUGUAGUCGGUCCCAAGGGUUGGGCUGUUCGCCCAUUAAAGCGGUACGCGAGCUGGGUUCAGAACGUCGUGAGACAGUUCGGUCCCUAUCCGUCGUGGGCGUAGGAAAUUUGAGAGGAGCUGUCCUUAGUACGAGAGGACCGGGAUGGACAUACCUCUGGUGUACCAGUUGUCGUGCCAACGGCAUAGCUGGGUAGCUAUGUGUGGACGGGAUAAGUGCUGAAAGCAUCUAAGCAUGAAGCCCCCCUCAAGAUGAGAUUUCCCAACUUCGGUUAUAAGAUCCCUCAAAGAUGAUGAGGUUAAUAGGUUCGAGGUGGAAGCAUGGUGACAUGUGGAGCUGACGAAUACUAAUCGAUCGAAGACUUAAUCAA